CCGGACCCCACUGCUAUNGGGAUAGGANNNGACNUGCUAGUCGAGUGGNUCAGCCAAUACGAGCCACGGCAUGCAGCUCAGUAACACGUGGCUAAUCUGCCCUUAGGACGAGAACAACCCCGGGAAACUGGGGCUAACUCUCGAUAGGCGAAGAACUCUGGAAUGAGUCUUCACCUAAAUAGUUCGGCGUUAUGCUCGUUGGACCGCCAAAGGAUGAGGCCGCGACCGAUCAGGUUGUUGGUGAGGUAAUGGCUCACCAAGCCUUUUACCGGUGCGGGCCGUGAGAGCGGGAGCCCGGAGAUGGGCACUGAGACAAGGGCCCAGGCCCUACGGGGCGCAGCAGUCGCGAAAACUUUGCAAUACACGAAAGUGUGACAGGGCUAUCCCGAGUGCCAUCCGCUGAGGAAGGCUUUUACCAGUCUAGAAAGCUGGGGGAAUAAGGAGAGGGCAAGUCUGGUGUCAGCCGCCGCGGUAAUACCAGCUCUCCGAGUGGUGUGGAUGUUUAUUGGGCCUAAAGCAUCCGUAGCUGGCUAAGUUAGUCCCUUGUUAAAUCCACCGAAUUAAUCGUUGGAUCGCGGGGGAUACUGCUUGGCUAGGGGACGAGAGAGGCAGACGGUAUUUUCGGGGUAGGGGUGAAAUCCUAUAAUCCCGGGAGGACCACCAGUGGCGAAGGCUGUCUGCUAGAACGCGCCCGACGGUGAGGGAUGAAAGCUGGGGGAGCGAACCGGAUUAGAUACCCGGGUAGUCCCAGCUGUAAACGAUGCAGGCUAGGUGUUUGGACGGCCACGUGCCGUUCUAGUGCCGCAGGGAAGCUGUUAAGCCUGCCGCCUGGGGAGUACGAUCGCAAGAUUGAAACUUAAAGGAAUUGGCGGG
rnacentral:rRNA from 1 species